rnacentral:rRNA from 1 species
AAUGACUCUCAGCAACGGAUAUCUUGGCUCUUGCAACUGCAGAAUUCGCGAAUCAUCGAGUUUUUGAACGCAAGUUGCGCCCGAGGUUCGUCCCGAGGGCAUGCCCGCCUGAGCGUCCGCUCCGACCCACCCACGAAACCC